GAUGAAGAACGUAGUGAAAUGCGAUAAGUAGUGUGAAUUGCAGAAUUCAGUGAAUCAUCGAAUCUUUGAACGCACAUUGCGCCCCUUGGUAUCCCGAGGGGCAUGCCUGUUCGAGCGUCAUUUCACCACUCAAGCCUGGCUUGGUGUUGGGCGACGUCCCCUUUGGGGACGCGCCUCGAAACGCUCGGCGGCGUGGCACCGGCUUUAAGCGUAGCAGAAUCUUUCGCUUUGGAAGUCGGGGCCCCGUCUGCCGGAAGACCUACUCGCAAGGUUGACCUCGGAUCAGGCAGGGAUACCCGCUGAAAUUAAGCAUAUCAAUAAGCGGAGGA
rnacentral:misc_RNA from 1 species